UUUAGUGAUGAAAAGCUUUCACAGCUUUUGUGGCUAGCCAUAGGCAAUGUUGCUAACAUAAAUACCAUCUUUCGGGACUGAUA
rnacentral:snoRNA from 1 species